CUCUUUUUGAAUAUAAUUUAAAGUUGGGCCUGCCCACUGAAAUUUUGAAGGGCCGCAGUAUUUUGACUGUGCAAAGGUAGCAUAAUCAUUAGUUUUUUAAUUGAAAGCUUGUAUGAAUGGUUUGAUGAGAAAAUUUCUGUCUCAAUUUUAUUUUUUUAUAACUUUAUUUUUAAGUUAAAAAGCUUAAAUUUAUUAAAAAGACGAGAAGACCCUAUAGAGUUUAAUUUAAAAAGUAUUUUUUUAUUAAAGGAUUUUUUAUAUUAAUAAUAAUUUUUAAAUUGUGUUGGGGUGACAGAAAAAUUAAAUAAACUUUUUUUAAAAUAAAACAUUAAUUUAUGAGUUUUUGAUCCAUAAAAAUGAUUAAAAGAAUAAAUUACCUUAGGGAUAACAGCGUAAUCUUUUUUGAGAGUUCUUAUUUAAAAAAGGGAUUGCGACCUCGAUGUUGGAUUAAAAUUUAUUUUUGGUGUAGAAGCUAAAAAAUUAGGUCUGUUCGACCUUUAAAAUUUUACAUGAUCUGAGUUUAAACCGGUGUAAGCCAGGUUGGUUUCUAUCUUUUAAAAAUUUAAAUGUUUUAGUACGAAAGGAUCAAAUAUUUUAUUUAAAAUAUAAAAAUUGAAUAAAAUUUUUAUUUUGGCAGAAUAGUGCGAAGGAUUUAGAAUCUUUUUAUGUAAUUUAUUACAAAUAAUAAUUGAUUUAGUUUUAAUUUUUUUGAAUUUUUUAAUUUUAGUGAUUGGGGUUUUAGUUGGUGUUGCUUUUUUAACUUUAUUAGAACGAAAACUUUU
rnacentral:rRNA from 1 species